GACGAACGCUGGCGGCGUGCUUAACACAUGCAAGUCGAACGGAAAGGCCCUGCUUUUGUGGGGUGCUCGAGUGGCGAACGGGUGAGUAACACGUGAGUAACCUGCCCUUGACUUUGGGAUAACUUCAGGAAACUGGGGCUAAUACCGGAUAGGAGCUCCUGCUGCAUGGUGGGGGUUGGAAAGUUUCGGCGGUUGGGGAUGGACUCGCGGCUUAUCAGCUUGUUGGUGGGGUAGUGGCUUACCAAGGCUUUGACGGGUAGCCGGCCUGAGAGGGUGACCGGCCACAUUGGGACUGAGAUACGGCACAGACUCCUACGGGAGGCAGCAGUGGGGAAUAUUGCACAAUGGGCGGAAGCCUGAUGCAACGCCGCGUGCGGGAUGACGGCCUUCGGGUUGUAAACCGCUUUCGCCUGUGACGAAGCGUGAGUGACGGUAAUGGGUAAAGAAGCACCGGCUAACUACGUG
rnacentral:rRNA from 1 species